rnacentral:rRNA from 1 species
GUGACUUGUGUGCGGGCAGGCGGGAGAGUACGGGUGGGGCUGGCGUUAAUCGGGAUUGCUGGGGGUAACGCGUGCGCAGGGGGUGAUGUAAGUCAGUUGUGAAAUCCCCGGGCUCAACCUGGGAACUGCAUCUGGGACUGCAUUGCUGGAGUGCGGCAGAGGGGGAUGGAAUUCCGCGUGUAGCAGUGAAAUGCGUAGAUAUGCGGAGGAACACCGAUGGCGAAGGCAAUCCCCUGGGCCUGCACUGACGCUCAUGCACGAAAGCGUGGGGAGCAAACAGGAUUAGAUACCCUAGUAGUC